GACGAACGCUGGCGGCGUGCCUAAUACAUGCAAGUUGAGCGCUGAAGGUUGGUACUUGUACCAACUGGAUGAGCAGCGAACGGGUGAGUAACGCGUGGGGAAUCUGCCUUUGAGCGGGGGACAACAUUUGGAAACGAAUGCUAAGACCGCAUAAAAACUUUAAACACAAGUUUUAAGUUUGAAAGAUGCAAUUGCAUCACUCAAAGAUGAUCCCGCGUUGUAUUAGCUAGUUGGUGAGGUAAAGGCUCACCAAGGCGAUGAUACAUAGCCGACCUGAGAGGGUGAUCGGCCACAUUGGGACUGAGACACGGCCCAAACUCCUACGGGAGGCAGCAGUAGGGAAUCUUCGGCAAUGGACGAAAGUCUGACCGAGCAACGCCGCGUGAGUGAAGAAGGUUUUCGGAUCGUAAAACUCUGUUGGUAGAGAAGAACGUUGGUGAGAGUGGAAAGCUCAUCAAGUGACGGUAACUACCCAGAAAGGGACGGCUAACUACGU
rnacentral:rRNA from 1 species